UACGGGGGGAGCAAGCGUUGUUCGGAUUUACUGGGCGUAAAGGGCGCGUAGGCGGCGCAACAAGUCACUUGUGAAAUCUCCGGGCUUAACUCGGAAAGGUCAAGUGAUACUGUUGUGCUAGAGUGCGGAAGGGGCAACUGGAAUUCUCGGUGUAGCGGUGAAAUGCGUAGAUAUCGAGAGGAACACCUGCGGCGAAGGCGGGUUGCUGGGCCGGUACUGACGCUGAGGUGCGAAAGCGUGGGGAGCAAACAGG
rnacentral:rRNA from 1 species